AGACCGGGCACCAGACCAAAGACUUCCUGCCCCACAGCAAACCGCAGGUGUUCAGGAACAUGAGGGGGGUAGAUCAUCUCGACCUGAGUAUCUUUGACUGUGGGAGGAUACAUUUCACCACCAAUUAUCUAAAAAAAACAGUAACAAAAGAGAACUCAAAGCUGUUGAAAGAUCUGGACGAAGAACAUUCCAAGUUGAGAGGAAAACUAGUGAAAAGCCCCUGAGGCGUGUUUGAGAGAGUGUGGCAGAAGCAAAGCUAGGAGGAGAGGUGGAAGAGCACAGGCUCCGGAUGCGCAGGCUCAGCGGCCAUGGCUCACGGCACCAGCCACUCCGCGACAUGUGGGAUCUUCCCGGACCGGGGCACGAACCCGUGUCCCCCUGCAUCGGCAGGCGGACUCUCAACCACUGCGCCACCAGGAAAGCCCUGAAUUCUUAAUAUGCGGGCCUCUCACUGCUGUGGCCUCUCCCGUUGCGAAGCACAGGCUCCAGACACUCAGGCUCAGCGGCCAUGGCUCACGGGCCCAGCUGCUCCACGGCAUGUGGGAUCUUCCCGGACCAGGGCACGAACCCGUGUCCCCUGCAUCGGCAGGCAGACUCUCAACCACUGUGCCACCAGGGAAGCCCCUAAGCAGGGACACUGGAGCUGGAGGGUCAGACAGUUAAGACUGGAGCUUGAGGCUUUUGAAUGGGCCUCUGCUCUCCUUGUGCUCUCACUACCUCCUUCUCAUGGGCAGUGUGAUAGUUCAUGUUCCCCCUCGGGAAGAUGCCGAGAAGAGAAUGACAGAGAAUGAGCUUCAUUAUCUUCCUUUCUACCCCAGCCAGUGGUUAGCCACUUGAGUGGCUCAAGCUUUCUCAGGGUAAGUUCCUGCCAGACUCGCUCUCAAUGUGUUUUUAUCUGACAUAGUUACUGGCAUUUAUACAUGCAUACAUGUACACACACACACAUAUAAAAUGUAUAUAUACCCAUAUUUAUAUUUGUGUAUACAUUGUUGUCAUUUUUUAGAAAUGUUUCACUUUAAUGUGUUCAUAUUUGUCAAAUGCUUUUAUGGCUUCUACAGUUUGAAUAUGAAGAAAGGCCUCCCCAGUAAAAUUCUCUCAUGUUUUUAUAUGAAAUUUUCACUUUUUCAUGGUAUUUACACUGAAUAUUUGGAAUUUAUCUUGGUCUAAGGAAUUAGAUAGGAGUACAGAUUGUUUUUUUCUUUUUCAAAUAGCUAAACAGUUGCCAAAACAGAUAGCCAAAUUGUCCAUAUAGUGAAUAGUUUGCCAUUUUCCACUAUUGCAAAAUGCUGCCCUGUUAUAUAUAAAUCCCUCUAUCUCUUUGGGUCUCUUUAUGAAUGCCUCUAUUGUACUGAUCUUUUUAUUUGCUAAUGUAAUACUGCUUUAAUCACUGUAAUUACAGAUUUACAUACAUGAUAGGACUAGGCCUUCAUUACUUCUUUACCUGUUAUCUUUAUUUUUCUACAUGAAUUUUAUAGUAGAUUUUUCUUGUUCCCUCAGA